AGGGCACCACCAGGAGUGGAGCCUGCGGCUUAAUUUGACUCAACACGGGAAAUCUUACCCGGCCCGGACACUGGAAGGAUUGACAGAUUGAGAGCUCUUUCUUGAUUCGGUGGGUGGUGGUGCAUGGCCGUUCUUAGUUGGUGGAGCGAUUUGUCUGGUUAAUUCCGAUAACGAACGAGACUCUGGCCUACUAAAUAGAUGAUUCCUCCUUUGUUACGGAGUCACUGCUUCUUAGAACGAGCGGCGACUCUGACCCACAAAACAGAGAAAUAACAGGUGUGUGAUAUGCCCAUAGAUGCUGGGGGGCGCACGCGCUCUACACUGAAGGAAUCCGCGUGUCAUAACCCUCUGCGAAGGGAGUGGGAACCGUUGAAACUCCUUUCUGAUGUGGAUUAGGAUGUAAUUUUUCCAUUACAAGGAAUUUCCGUAACGCCGUCUCAGCUUCGCGUAAUACCCCCUCCCUUUGAAAAACCCGCCCCUUCCCGAUUGAUGUUUAGGGGACUUCGAUGGCGGAGCCUU
rnacentral:rRNA from 1 species